GCGCGGGCGGGCGCGGCGCUUGGAGGACGGCCGGAGCCGCCGCCGCCCUCGCCGCCGCGGCGCUCUCCUGGUGCUGAUCGCACGUGCUGAUGGCGUAUCACGUUCCAGAUUCGAGGGGUGUUCCUUCUUUUUUUUUGGUGUGGAGAGGUGCGGUUGGUAGCACGAGCUGAGUAGUAGUAGUACCAGCAGCAGCAGUAGAUCGGCUGAUGCGUAUGUACUGGUACGCUGUUCUGGAAUCUGAAUCGAAGAUUGUGAUUAGAUGUAGCUCUGUAGUCUAGACGAGUUUGCGAUUAGCGUUGAGUAAUUGUCACGCACGAAAAAUGCAGAGGAGUUGAAGGCAUUGCCGGCUUGCUUUUGCUGUACUGUACAUUUGAAUCGGCAGAUGCUCUCUGGUUCCUGUAACUUGUGGUAUGAACAUUGCUUCAGAAAUACUUGGUAUUGGUAAUUUGGUAUAGCCUUCUGGGAAUUGAGCAUGUACGGUGUGCACUUCACUUGAGUAGUACUAGGUUACAAGUUCCUUUUAUUUGAGGGUGUUUUGAACAACCCGUGUCAAUCUG
rnacentral:lncRNA from 1 species